GUCUAUGGCCAUACCACUCUGAACGUGCCCAAUCUCCUCUGAUCUCGGAAGCUAAGCAGGAUCGGGCUUGGUUAGUACUUGGAUGGGAGACCACACAAAUCUUAAAAUAAUUUGUUCU
rnacentral:rRNA from 1 species